GUUCCAGGCAAUUGUUGGUAGUUCUGUACUGCAAAAAAACACCUCUGUGCCAAGGCUUUGAGGCCCUCAUCUUAGAGUAAUCCCCUGACUUCCUGGGAGAAGGGGAGCCCCAGGGUUCGUAGCAUUCCUGCAUGCUUUAGAACAGUGUAGGCUGGUUGGGAAGAGAACUGUGACCUUAAAUUCUUGGAGAGCCCAGGACUGGCUUCUGGGGUAAUGGCGUCAUCUAUGGAUCAAGCUUAGAUUUACCUGACAGCUGAAUUCCAGGGAUAGGAUGGAGUUGCUUCACUGAAGCUUCCCACCUGAGACAUUGGCACCAAGAGCUCCAUGACCAAAGGGCCCCAGGUGGGGCUGGCGUUGGCAACAAACAUGGUCACCUUCCUAAAACAGGGAGGCAAUUCGAUUGCACAGGGCUUUACGUGCUGUUGGUAAAGUCUGUUAGGUCACAUUCUAUGCGUCUUUUCUGUACCAUGUGCCAAAAAUAGACUCAUUUUGCCUGCCCUGCUUCCUCCCUCCUGUUCUGCCAGACACCAGCUUUUGUUUUUUCCUCCCGCAUUGCGUGAGGGUCUUGGUGUGUCCAGAGCCUUCUUUUGUCCUGUGGCUAUGCUUCGGUGCUGAGCCCAGAGCUAAACAGGUGGACAGCAGGUGUCCCGGAAGGGCUGGAGCUUGGCUGUUUCUCAAGGGAAAAUCGGCUGCUUCUGGUCACUGGAUCAUUACUGUCUGGGAAUUUUUGCUUUGACGAUACAACUUAAGCAGGCUCCUCUCCAGCCCUGGUCUGUCUCACCGGGGCUGUUCCACCAAAGCACAGAACGUCAGUGCUCGCCUCAAGUACGUUGCAAGGCAGAUCUAUUUCUCAGGUGUGGCGGGGAUGCCAUGCUUUUCUUCUUUGUAGCUGCUAUACCUGUGUUGAUUGGGAAGACGCUGGAAGGGCAGUGGAGAGGUGAGCCUAAUGUUAAGAGUCUUGGCUCUGUCCCACGAUGACUGGAUGAUUCGACAGGUUGCUCACCUCUCUAAACUUCAGUGUCUCCAUCUGAAAAAUGGGGGCAUUGUAGUAUCUACCUCUUAGGUUUGCUGUAGAGAUUACAGGCAAUUAUUGUACAGCAGUGCCUGCUGUGGUAAGUGGUAAAUCAAUGCUAGAUGAUAAAAAUGACAACAGUGAUAAGAUGUUGAUUCUAACCAUCAUAUCACCCCUGGAAGUUUCACCUGGCUUGAAGAAUCCCUAACAGUUUUCAGGGCACCCUGUACCGGUUUCUCUCGUGCCCCAGCGGUCGCCCUGGAUGACAUUGGAGAGCACUCUUCUUGCCGGUCAUGCGCCUCCCUGACCACACGUCGCUCACCCUGUGUGGUCCUCCUGAAGAGGCCGGCCAGGAGACAGAGAUCGACUGAACAGGUGGAUUCACAUUAACUUUCCUUCUAGGCAGCAUGAAGAAGCCUCAGUUGAGGAUGAGAAGGGGUGAGGAUGUGCUAUCCACACUGGGAAGGUGUGCUCCCUCCCGCCCGGGCACCUGCACCCUUUGUCUGCCUUCCCGCUUCCUUCCCAGCUGCUGCUGCGCUGUAGGAUCUCUCUGGGUAGACUGGCAUGUUUGGCCACUUCUUCACGAGAGGGCUGUGUGUGCCUGUGUGUGCACCUGAGGGACCCUGUGUAGCCUUCUUAGCUCUGCUGUCAGGGCUAUGGAAAGUCAAGAGGUUGACCGUGACCUGAACUUUGAGGGAGCCUUUUGAAACUUUAUGGACUAAAGGACUAGAGACUGAUGACAUCCCCCAGGAAGAUGGAGGUCACUGCAUUGCCAGUGCAUGCAGGAAACCCCAGAGACCAGAGGCUUAUCUGCAAUUAGUGUAACACUUCCACCUGCACCCGGGAACGCUGCUGCACCUGAGAGGCUGGAGGCUCUGAAAUACCAACGGAUAAAGAAGCCCAAAAAGUCAUCCAAGGGCUCUUCGAAGUCAAAGAAACGAUCCGACGAUUCUGCCUCCCAGACUCAGCAGCUUCCCAACUCUCAGGUUCUGUGGCCCGAUGAAGCUGUCUGCCUCCGAAAGAAGAAGAGACAUUCUCGUCCUGACCCCUUUGCCCGGCUCUCAGACUUGUGCCACCGCCAGCUUCCGGAAGACCAGACAGCGAUUCUCAACAGUGUGGACCACGAUGACCCAGGACAUGCCACUUUGCUGUGACUCCACCCCACUCUAGGUGUCCCCGGGGCGAGGUUGCUGGGCUCAGGCAGGGAGGGCCACUGUGUGGGGGUGUGUCCUCCUCCGUCUGCCAAGGGUGGCCCAGACCUUUGUCCUGCAUGCCCCCUCUUUUGCCAGAGCGGGUGUCUCCCUCCAGAUCCUGGCCGCCUGUCUUCAGGACGGAGGGUGGGCACACCUUCCACCUGUGGGUCGAGGUCAGGAAGUGGAUUGGAGACUGGGCAACACCUGUCUCCUCCCCUCCGCCCCCUGCUUCACUAGGUUGAUUUUUCUCAUCUCUUCCAAUGUCUUUGGAAGUGAAGAGGAAAGCAAUGGCUUUUACUGCUCUCUGCUUCUGUUUCAGUUUUUCAAGUCCUGGAAGAAGGCUGGACUUAAUGUCCAUCUUCCACACCCCACAUAUAUAUAGAUAUAGAUACAGAUGCAUAUGUCUGUAGUGUGUGGGUUUCUCUAUGUGUGUAUAUAUAUAUAUAUAUAUAUGUACAUUGAGGCAAAGUGCUGUUGCUCUCUGUGGUCAGUGGAGGCAGGAGGAGGAGGGCAGCGGCCAGCUGGGGUUUGCGAGCAGGGCUGGCUGCACCUUGGCCAGGUGCCUGACAUCUGUCUUGGGGGAUUCUUUCUCCCAAAACAAGAUCCGUGUCUCUCCGCUGAAUUCUCCGUGUGUCUUCUACCUUCUCCCACCCAGAGCAGAAAUGGGGCCUUGCUAUGAUUACCGGCUGCCUUCUAUGGGGGUUCAGUAAUGAGUUACUGCAGAACUAAAUUCAAGCCUUUGUUUCUUGGUUCCUGGGUGAAGAAGGGGUGGCCAGGCUCCUAGACCUGCAUCUUUCUUUCUUCCUUCCAGCGUGGCUCACGCUGCAGAAGUAGAGGCUAACUCAGCCGCGGGGCUGAAGCAAGCCUCUGGUGCGCAUGUCCAGCGCAUCCGUCGGCACCCUUCCGCCCAGCCAGGCCGUGAGCUCUGUGGCCAAAGUCUCCCCCACUGCGGAGCCACCUGUGCUAGCGCCAAGCUGCCGGCUCUAUUUAUACCGUCCCCGGCUCAGCACUCUGUGCAGCGCUGUUCCACAGCGGCUGAUUGGAUCCUCCUUUGCUUUUGUGGGAGCUAAUUCUCCAGAUUGAUUAAUUACCACUUGUGCGGAGCCGCCUGUGGCUUUCCCGCACUCACCACGUGCUGCCUGCCGACUCUUCUCUGCCCCGGGGCCUUCGUCCUCCGGUGGACCUGAGCUGCAGGGGGAUGGGCUCAGGUGAAGCUAGGGCGCCUCUGGCUGCUGGGGCCUGGGACGCUCUGGAUCCUGCCCUCUUUGCCCAGUUCUAUUCUGUGGCUGAGGCGUAGGAAUGAAGGCGGGAGGGGUGGUGAGUAGGGUCUGGGCACUGACUCUUCCUCUGCCAAAGUCUGGUCCUGGUUCAAACUCGUAGCAUCCAGAAGCUUCCUGAGAUCAUCUUCCCACUAAGAUGUCUCUCUGCCGGUAAGAUAUGGUGCUGCCCAAGGGCAGGGCAGAAGGCCCCGAGGGCGGGGUGGAGGGGAGAUCUGCCCCUCCCCCACUCUUGUGUAGGAGCCCCCCUUCUGGCUUGGCUUAGAAUGAAGGUUCCUUGAAGUAUUUCCUUCUUGGUGCUGCUGUCUUGGUGGGUUUGGGGGCACCCACCUCUCCCGAGUUCCCUGCUUGGACGUGAGCCACGGCAGCAUUGGACGGCUUCUGCUGGUCUCACGCAGCUGCCAUGGGCUUGGCCCAGUGACCUCGCAGGAUGAGGCCUUGGAUGGCUGCUGUCUCUUCUUGGCGUUUCCAUCUUAGGGGAUGGACUUCUUCUGUGCCACACCGGCCCUGGUCCUUCCUUUCACCCAGGGAGCUGAGGACCAGCUCCACCCUUGAGGUUUACCGUGCAAGUAACACGACCGCAGUUCCUUUCUGAACACAUCUGAAGGGGUCAUGGUGAGAGAGGCACGCAGGGGCUUCUGAGACUGGGCCGUGCACCCUUGGGGUGGAAUCUGGGCCUUCCGGUUGAUGUGCUUCUCUGGGGCGUCGGAAUCCACUUGACCGCUGGGCACCAGCUCUGCGAGAUGGAAGAGCACACAACUCUUUGUGUUCUUUUUUCCAGGUAGCACACCCUCUGCCCCCGCGUCGUGAUGUGCUGCUCACUUGGGCGUCUCUCCUUGGGGAUGACGGGAGCCGGCUUACCUGAGGUGUUGGGGUGGGAGGUGGGGGCUUACCGCAAGCUGACGUGCAGCCUUUGUGCACUGGCAGUGUGAGAUUUCUACCCCAGAGGAGCUCACGGGGCUCAGCCAGGCCCUGGGAUGCACUGGGAUGUGGGCAUCAGGCUGUCAGCCUUCAGGAUGAAUUUGGCCUACUUUUCUGAGCACCCUCCUGGGAAUUCCAGCCCUCAGGUUAGAAAAGAAGAGGAGAUGAUGAGGUAGAAGGCUUUGCUUCUUUCGGAUGUCAUGAGAGGCUGAGAUGCUCAGGCCGUGGCUGUGCCUUCCAGGGCACCCCCGUGCUAACCCAGGUGCUGACUCCUCCUCCGCUUCCUCUGGCAGUGCCCAUGACCUCAGCACGUAGACCCAACGCGGGGAGCCGUGCUAUUCGCUGGUCACCGAGUGGCUGCUGUGCUGUGGCUUCCCUGGCUAGGGCAAGGACGUCAGGUCUGCCCAUCUCUCAGUGGCCUGCCACUCAUUCAGCUCCCCUGAGGGCUUCCUCCUGUGACAGUGUCCUCGGAGGCCAGCAGCCCUCCUGCAGCCCGUGGACGGCGAUGGGAUUGGUGGAACGCAGUUCCCUCCGUGGAUAGAGGGCGAAGAUGUCACAGGCACAAGUUUAGGUGCUGGGUAUAGGCAUGUGUGACAGCGUGGUUGUGAGCAUGUGGGUGAUGGGGGUGUAACCACCUCUAGGGACCAGUGUCCUUCAUAGUCUGCCUCUGAACAAUGGCAGUGACUACUGAUCAGCUUCUUAGGACUUCGGCACUCACUCUGUAGGAGAUCGCACCUUCCAAACUUCCCCUUUUACGGUCUGGCGGCCUUGCAGUAGACACGACUCAGAUGUAAACCUGCUUCUGUGUCUCAGAUGUCUGUCUGCCUCUUCAGCAUCGUGGCUGAGAACUGUGGCUGUUGUAGUGUCAGGUGACCCACAGACCAGGAAGAGGGGGAAACGGUUCUUAGCGGGGCCUGGACAACUGCAUUUGCGUGGGGAGAGAAGAUGUACGACGAGGCAGAGAGGCGAAGCCUGUCUCGAUUUGCUGGUGGGCUGCCGUGGGCUCCCACCCGGUGCUGAGCGGGGUCCUGUGCUGGAUUGUUGGGGUGGCUCUGGGCCCAGCAUCUGGGAGUGGCCCUGCCUGCUGCCAGUCUGCCUCUAAGCAGCUUCCCUGGAGAGACUGGGGGUAGGACAGGCCUUUUGAGAUCCUGCUUUCUUAGCAGGAAGGACGCCUUUUUCCCAGCAGGCUGGCGGGGUCUGUGCCCUCCUUGGAGGUGCUUAGUCCCACAACCAUGCGCUUGCGGGAAGACUGAAGCCGGGUGGAUUGAGCCGAGUAUUUCUUGUUAUUUUUCCAUGCUCUCUGUCUUUAUUUUUGAUUUGUGAUCUAAAAUAUUUGGGGUUGAACUGUUUUAAUUUAUUCCUCUGCCCUUUUUGUGCCGAGGAAACUGGGGUAAGGUUCAAAUGUGAAAUUUUCUGAUUUUAUUUGGGGUGGGGGACAAGGUUGACGAAACAGUAGCUUCUAGGGAGAAACAGAUUUCACGGAGCCUCCAGCAUCUUUGGCACUGCCCACGAUCUGAAUCUCCAGGGCUGAAGACUGCGUGGCUGGAAUCUGUUUCUUCCCAUUUUGUUAGCAAAAGCCUUUUCCAGGCUUGGGGGUGGGGUGGGGGAAGAAUUGUACAUAAAGUACAUUUUAUUAAUCUGUAGAGAAAC
rnacentral:lncRNA from 1 species